AUGAACCUGCUGCGGAUUUUCCUGUUCAUGCUGGUGGCCCCUUUAGGUGUCCUCUCCCAAGUGCAGCUGCGGGAAACGGGCUCGGGAGCGGUGAAACCCGGGGAGUCCCUGACACUCACUUGUACCAUCUCCGGAGACUCGGUUUCUAGCACCAGCGUCACCUGGGACUGGGUCCGGCAACCCGCGGGGAAAGGGCUGGAAUGGGUGGGACGCAUUUACUACAGUUCGAGUCAGUGGUACACUGACUACGCCAGCGCUCUGCAGAGUCGAACGACCAUCACACAAGACACUUCCAAGAACCAGUUCUCCCUGCAGCUCCGCUCGCUGACAGCUGCGGACACCGGCACCUAUUACUGCGCCAGUCAUACUUCCUAUACCAACAGCUACUGGUGGGGGUGGGGGGAGGGGCUCACAAAGACAGCUCCAUCUCUAUUUACACAUGAGCAACCUAAAGGACAUGCACACAGAAAAGAGGCACCCAGAGAGACAAUCCGCAGCCCCCUGUGUCUGUACAGUUACCAGCCAGCCUCCCUGAGAACUUUUCACUGA